GAUGAACGCUAGCUACAGGCUUAACACAUGCAAGUCGAGGGGUAACAAGAGAAAAGCUUGCUUUUCUUGUUGACGACCGGCGCACGGGUGAGUAACGCGUAUCCAACCUGCCCAUAACUAGGGAAUAACCUUGCGAAAGUAAGACUAAUACCCUAUAAUUUCCUUUGACGGCAUCUGACGAGGAAUAAAGAUUUAUCGGUUAUGGAUGGGGAUGCGUCUGAUUAGCUUGUUGGCGGGGUAACGGCCCACCAAGGCAACGAUCAGUAGGGGUUAUGAGAGGAAGGUCCCCCACAUUGGAGCUGCGACACGGUCCAAACUCCUACGGGAGGCAGCAGUGAGGAAUAUUGGUCAAUGGGCGGAAGCCUGAACCAGCCAAGUAGCGUGCAGGAUGACGGCCCUAUGGGUUGUAAACUGCUUUUAUACAGGAAUAAAGUUAGCCACGUGUGGUUAUUUGUAGGUACUGUAUGAAUAAGGACCGGCUAAUUCCGUGCCAGCAGCCGCGGUAA
rnacentral:rRNA from 1 species